GAAAAGCUUUAGUACCAGACUAACUAUCUUCUUCUUCUUCACAAAGCCUUUCUCUACGGGUCAAUUUUAUUUUUCCUUUUGUUCUUCGUCCUGUUAGUCGCAUUGAAAGUUAUGAUGAAAAUUCAAAUUGAGCUAUUGUUUUUAGACACUACAAUGAAGAUGAUGAAGAAGAAAGGGGCACGAGAAAGGUUACUAGUAAGAAGAAAUUGAUCUCAUUUGAUUCAUUCCAAGGUAUUCCAAGCUUAAUAAACAAUUUGAAAUUGUUCUAAUUCAGCUAUAAGAAGUAUUGGCUUUUGGGUUUAGUUUUGUUUCCUUCGAAUUCAUUUAUGAUUUGGAUUUUUGAGUAAUUUAGGGUUUGACUUAUAGAUGAUUAAUUGGCAUUGAAUGAGAAAGGUUGUUCAAGUAUUUCAAUUGGUGAAGCAUGGAAUGUAUUUAGGGAUUUGUUGUGGUCCGAAUUUGGUUUUAAGUGAAGGUUCUUGAUCUAGAAAUACACAGAGCAGAAGAUGGAUCAAGUUUGAGAUGGUUAUGGCCCUUCUGGGAUUGAUCUUCGAUGAUUAUGAUGAGCACUUUCAACUGUUAAAAAAGUCGAAGGAUUUAGUGUUGGCUACCUUGGUUUCUGGUGGUCGGUUUUGGAAAAUUAGUGAAGUGUUAGAAGUGGUUUUCGAGUACAAUACAAACAUAGAGCUGGUGAUAGGAGCUAUGAUGGUGUUUGGGGUCGAUUUUUAUGUCAAUUGGUGGCUGGAAUUGUGAGGGAGAAACCAACAGAGAAAUAGAGAUGGAAACAAGCUUCUAAUUGAACUGGUGGUUCUCUGUAUGGAGGUUUUGUUUUUAUAUGUCUGGAAUUUCAGAAACUUCAAUUGGAUUUGUUUCUGGCACAUGCUAACCAUGAUUGUUAUGGCUGUUUUAGAAGAUUCAGAGGAUGUUUUACAAGCCAGUAAGGAUGUUUUUACGAGUGAAUGGUAUCUGAUUGAUGUGUUAAGAUGGGUUGUGUUUGAAUUAAGUUUGCAGGGAAGGAUAAUUAAUUGGAACAGGAAACAAAUUUAACAGAGUUUCUCAAUCACCAAUUUGCGAAGGCAUAUGAAAUGUUGCAGGGAACUGGUGGGUGUUGUGUAGGUGAAAUUGUCUGUGAAAUUGAAGGUUGAAUCGGGGUGUGGUUUGUUUACUGGCUGAGCUAGCUGCAGAAGAGGAGGUGGAUUCAGAUGGAGUAGGAUCUGAUUACGGUAGCUGAAACUGGUGAUGAGCAAUGGUUGUGAAGAAUACAGCAAGAACAAUUGGGUAUUGAAGGUGUUGGUGGUGCCGUUGAGCAGUUAUGGGCAUGAGCUAUACAGGUGCAGUGUGCUGAGUUGAAAUAGAUUCAGUUGAACUGAAGCAAUAGCAGGUGAUGAGUGGUUGGACCUGAUGGUAGAUGGAGUAUAGCUGCUGCAUUUACACUUUGCAGAUACUAUUACUAUUGUAGGUUGUAUUGCAGUGCAGGAGGAAAGAUUAUGGAGAUACAUACAGUGUGGAUUCAGUGUCACAUUACAGUGAAUGAAGGUGAUGCUGAUGUUUGAAUGAAUAGAUGUAUGCUUAGGAACUUGACAAUGGUAAGCAGUUGCAGGUGCAGUUCAGCUGGUGUUGUUGCUACUGUUGGUGUUUAACACAAGAAUUAAGAAGGAAACGAGCUGUGGUUGUUUGCAUCUGAGAUUGCAGGGGAUACCUUGAUGCAUUGGCUGAGCAGAGAAUUUCAAAGAAGGAUGCAAUGGUAGUAUUGUUGCAGAGUGGUUGAAACAGUAUAGAUGAAGAAUCCGAGAAGCUAAGGAAUGGUGGGUGCUGUUAGACGUAAUUGAAGGUCAGAUGAAGAUUCUUGUUGUUGGUGAUGGGGGUCACGCAAUUAUGAAGUGGGAUCUGUUUUUGUUGAAAUGAAUAAGGGAGAUUGGCAGGUUCAGGACUUAGGGAAUGAGCUAAAUGUCCACAGCUAUGAUGAAGUAUGGAAGGUUUGUCUUAUCAAAAUUAGAAUUAGAAUUCUCACAAACAAAAAUAACAUACUAUUUGUUAUGUCAAAAGUCUGUAGUUCGUUGCAUACUGUCUCAGUGUGUUUGUGUAUUGAGGAUUUGGUUUACUCAGACGUAGCUGAUUUUAUUGUGUUCUUUCUGUAUUGCUUUUAACAAAGAAAAUGUGGUAAUAAUGACCCACAAGUGUGCUCUUCUUGCAUAUGAGUUGAAACGGAACUUCUUUGUGC